rnacentral:rRNA from 1 species
UGCAAGCGUUAUCCGGAAUUAUUGGGCGUAAAGAGCUCGUAGGCGGUUUGUCGCGUCUGCUGUGAAAACUGGAGGCUCAACCUCCAGCCUGCAGUGGGUACGGGCAGACUAGAGUGCGGUAGGGGAGAUUGGAAUUCCUGGUGUAGCGGUGGAAUGCGCAGAUAUCAGGAGGAACACCGAUGGCGAAGGCAGAUCUCUGGGCCGUAACUGACGCUGAGGAGCGAAAGCGUGGGGAGCGAACAGG